rnacentral:rRNA from 1 species
GUCUACGAAGAACAGCAAUGUUCCUUCCGCAGAGUACACUUGCAGAAGCCUUAGUGGCCCGAAAGGGUUUCAUCAGCGACUCUAAACAAGUAGGUGGAUUAAACGCUAGUCUCUCUGGAAGAGGCGACACUAUCAAAUUGCGGGAAGAUCCUGUCAGGUCCACAUCACCGCGGCUCACCGAAAGGUGUAGUGCAGCACCAGGCUAACAACCUUGGGUAUGGUAAUAGUAUGUGGAAUAGGGAGAAUCUGCAGCCAAGCCCCUCUCUUGGGGUGCAGUUCACAGGCCAAAUGGUAGUGGGCACUCUGGUGCUUAAGAUAUGGUCGAGUCCCAAUUGAAAAAUUGGGUACAAGUACUCUGAUUGAUUACAUACAGUCUAUGCUCAGUCGAAUACAGCUAGUUGUAAAUGCAAAUGUUCCGUAGGUGAACCUGC